CCCUCCUCCUCCCGCGACCCAACCGACCUGCGCGCGCCUCAGGCCCCGCAGCCGAGCGCCGAGCGGCCGAUCCGUCGCUUGUGUCUCCACCCGCAGUUGUGUAAGAAAGCCCAUAGCCCGCCAUGGAGCGUGCCUUUACCCCGCUGGAGCCCCUGCUACCCACGGGAAAUUUGAAAUACUGCCUCGUGGUUCUUAAUCAGCCUUUGGACACACGCUUUCGUCAUCUUUGGGAAAAAGGGUGUGUUAAUUGCUAAAUGAUGUGGAAGGCCCAGCCAGCCACUGCCAUCCCCGGCCAGGUAGGUCUACUCCAUCUAAGAAUGGUAGCUGAAUGUUGAGUCGAUUGAGCCAGCAAGCAGUGUUUCUUGUGGUCUCAGCUUCAGUUACAAAUUCUAGGUUCCUGUCUUAGCUUCCUUGAUGGUAGACUGAAACCUUUAAGCCAGUUAACCCCCCCCCAACUGUGUUGAUUUUGGUCAGGGUCUUCAUCAAAGCGACAGAGAGCAAACUACAGUAGACUGCUUGUGGCAUGUGACAUCUCCCUCGCCAGCAGUCAUCGUUCCCUCUUUAGGACUUUCAGAAGUGGCAGUAGUUGAUGUCACGGGACUCUUGCUCUAGCCUCCCCUUUCUCUCUCUGUGUUUGUAAUCUCCGUUGGAAGAAUUCAGAGGACACACAGAACAUAAGGUGAUGUAGGUAAGGUUCAUUGCAGAGUAAAGUGCAGCAUUCCCAAAGGA